UAGCGAAGCUCUUGAUCGAAGCCCGAGUAAACGGCGGCCGUAACUAUAACGGUCCUAAGGUAGCGAAAUUCCUUGUCGGUUAAAUACCGACCUGCAUGAAUGGCGUAACGAGAUGGGAGCUGUCUCAAAGAGGGAUCCAGUGAAAUUGUAGUGGAGGUGAAAAUUCCUCCUACCCGCGGCAAGACGGUAAGACCCCGUGGACCUUUACUAUAGCUUGACACUGCUAUUUGGAUAAGAAUGUGCAGGAUAGGUGGGAGGCUUUGAGUAUAUGACGCCAGUUGUAUAGGAGCCAUUGUUGAGAUACCACUCUUUCUUAUUUGGGUAGCUAACCAGCUUGAGUUAUCCUCAAGUGGGACAAUGUCUGGUGGGUAGUUUGACUGGGGCGGUCGCCUCCCAAAUAAUAACGGAGGCUUACAAAGGUUGGCUCAGAACGGUUGGAAAUCG
rnacentral:rRNA from 1 species